rnacentral:misc_RNA from 1 species
AAAAUCUUCUUGAAGAAAAGAAAAGAACAGAACCAAAAGAGUUUUGAAUAUCUCUCUAAAUCUCCUAUAGCUGUAAAAUAUCUCUAAAUAGCUCUAAAUUAUUGGAAUCUUUUUUCCUUUUUUUUUUUCCUCCCCCUUUUCUUCCCCAGUAGGGUAUUUAUAGGAUUUUGCGAGAGAGGUGUGAUAGGGUUUGGAUUUCUAGGGUGAUAAAUUUCAAAUAACUUAAACGACUUGGAUUGAGGAAUUUGAGUGAGACGAGAUGUUCCGACCAAUAGAGAGAGAGGAAAAUGGGGCAUCACCAAUAGGGAGUGAGGAAGAGAAUAGGGCCAAGGGGAAGAGAGAGUUUGUGUGGGAGAGUGAUAGAGAAAAAGAUAUUUUCUUUAUUUUAAUUUUCAAAACAUAAAUUAAAUGGGUCAUAUUUAAAAUUCCUAACUAGGUUUUCUUAAGCCCAUAGGGCUCAAUUAAGCUUAAUUAGGUACAUUUAAAAACUACCCAUAUUAAAUUUAAACA